UUGUCUAAAAAAAAAAAAAAGAGCCCUCCGUGCGUGUUAUGCACAUAGAGCAUCGAAUUUAAUCUUCACCAAACCAAACAAAGGAGAUACCACCAAUGGAGCUAUUUUCUGGAGGAAACUGAAGCUCAGAGAUGUCCACUGCCACAGCCACACAGAGGGCAAAUACUCCACAAGGGGAUUUACAUCACAAGCGCCAGGGUCUGUUUAUUAAAACCCCUUCCCAGCAGAGGGCAGUACAGUGUCUUGUCCCAGCAGAAAAGGUCCUUCAGGCCACCCCUCUAAACACAGGAGCCAAGGGUGUUGACAGAGGGGCACCCUUUGCACCCCCAGGACUCCUAUGGCCAGCAUCGGAGGACCCUGUGGCAGCCAGGAGCGGAAGGUUCAUGUUCUGCAGGGGCG
rnacentral:lncRNA from 10 species